rnacentral:rRNA from 1 species
GGAAUUGCUAGUAAUGGCAGGUCAGCAUACUGCCGUGAAUACGUUCCCGGGCCCGUUGUACACACCGCCCGUCACACCAUGAGAGUUGGAAAUACCCGAAGCCUGUGAGCUAACUUAAAGAGGCAGCAGUCGAAGGUAGAGCCAAUGAUUGGGGUGAAGUCGUAACAAGGUACC